UAAGCGCUUAUUACAGCUUGAGACACGAUGGAUCCUCACAUUAGAUACUUUGAGUCCAAAGGACCUCAACAAAUCCUUAGGCAUGAGCAACUUCAUUUGAAUAUCUUAAGAUCAAUAUUGGUAACGAGGGCCCUAUGGUAUGGGAUCAUGCAGCAUGUAUGUUUUUUUGGGGUAUAGAGUAGGUUUUAAUAUCAGGUUGAAGUUAGCCAGAUUACUAACUUUGGUUACAAGAUUAUAGAUAAAAUCUUAUAUAUGCAGGGAGAAUAGAAGUGAAAUAUUGGUAGCUUUAUUGACUGUAGUGACUUGGAAUUAAAAACAAGUGGGCCGUAGAUGUGUUUAAAUCCUUCUGUAAAGCUACAUACUUAGUAGGUGCUGAGGUGAAGCUAUUUUAAUAGUUAUUAUCAAAUUUUUUUAAUAUUAUACUCCCCGUUUUUCCCCACAAUUGUAUAUGUACUGUUUUAGUCACAUUUUAUCGCAUUUUAGCAUUUAUUAAUGGUGGCUGUUAGCAGCUGCGUAUAUACACAUGCUUUAUUAUACUGUUCAGGCAGUGAACAACUACCUGUCUUAACAGUGCACACAUUGCUGUGUUUUGUUGACAGUGGUAACCUGGUAACAGUCCCCACGCCCCCAUUGGACAGCCCAGGGAGCAGGCAUCCGGUCAUGUGACCGAGUCCCGGACCAGAAGUCCAGAACCCAGAAGCCGGACGGAGGCGGGGAGAGGAUGGCUCGAGGCGCGCUGGGAAUUAUUUCAAGGGCAAGAAUAAGACUUCCUCCCCCCAUCCGUACCCUCCUCAGUGACCUGAUCUUACCCCCAUUAGCAAUUGGUGAGAUAUGCUAGAAUCGUUAUUCAACAGCAAAGUCAUUUACUGUCAAUCAACUCAAAGACAGCUAUAGGAUACUGUAUAUCAUUGGACACUCUUCAAUCGUAGACCAGGACACGCUCAAACUGCAGAAACCGACCGUCACGCCGCGCAAUUCCUCGUCACGCCAGAAUAUGUACAAAUAACUCAAUUUAACCAGCAAACAAUGACAGACACGUGUUAAGUAAAGUAAUAAAUUUUCUUUUUUACCCCUUU